rnacentral:rRNA from 1 species
GACGAACGCUGGCGGCGUGCUUAACACAGGCAAGUCGAACGGAAAGGCCCUGCUUUUGUGGGGUGCUUGAGUGGCGAACGGGUGAGUAACACGUGAGUAACAUGCUCUUGACUUUGGGAUAACUUCAGGAAACUGGGGCUAAUACCGGAUAGGAGCUCCUGCUGCAUGGUGGGGGUUGGAAAGUUUCGGCGGUUGGGGAUGGACUCGCGGCUUAUCAGCUUGUUGGUGGGGUAGUGGCUUACCAAGGCUUUGACGGGUAGCCGGCCUGAGAGGGUGACCGGCCACAUUGGGACUGAGAUACGGCCCAGACUCCUACGGGAGGCAGCAGUGGGGAAUAUUGCACAAUGGGCGGAAGCCUGAUGCAGCAACGCCGCGUGCGGGAUGACGGCCUUCGAUUUGUAAACCGCUUUCGCCUGUGACGAAGCGUGAGUGACGGUAAUGGGUAAAGAAGCACCGGCUAACUACGUG